rnacentral:rRNA from 1 species
CGCGUGGGCAACCUGCCCUGUACAGGGGGAUACCAUCUGGAAACAGAUGCUAAUACCGCAUAACCGCAUCAGCCCGCAUGGGCAGAUGCGGAAAGGGAGAAAUCCCGGUACAGGAUGGACCCGCGUCUGAUUAGCCAGUUGGCAGGGUAACGGCCUACCAAAGCGACGAUCAGUAGCCGGCCUGAGAGGGUGGACGGCCACAUUGGGACUGAGACACGGCCCAGACUCCUACGGAAGGCAGCAG